AAUCAUUAUAACAGUCUGUUUACCCUGCUGAAAGUCCAUGAGUUUACAAAAAAUAACUAAUAGGCCAUUUUUUCAACAGUUCGUAAUACUAAUGCCUAAAAGAAAAUUUUAAAAGUAAACAAAAGAAAUAUUUUUCUCCAAAGUUCAGGUUUUCUUCUGCUAUCAGAUCCUUUAAUAGGGUGCAAACUUGCAAGGAAUCAGCUAUGGAGUUGUUCCUCACAAGUUGACACUUCGAGCUUCAACCUUGAGAUUACUUGGCUUUGUGGCCACUCACAUACAAAACAACAAUACAACUAUCAGUACAUAUAGAAAUCCAUAGAUUACUGUAACUUUGACUUAACUAACAAAAAGCAAUUAAAAAGAAAGGAAAGUGGCUACUUCAGCAGUUAUGAAUUCAUAUUCAAACCAUUCCAGCAUUCUUUUCACAUAAGAACUUGGCUAAGUAAAAUGCUCAAGCAUGCUAGUGAGGUAAUAACUUAACACAUUUGAAGGAAUCAUGAUCAUAAAGAACAAACAAGCUGGAAAUAAGAAAAGACACUUAACAAACAAAAGCUUUUCAUUCAGCCACCCAGACAAAAGAUUACAGAAGCUAAAUGAACCCAAGUCAAGCAUGUGAGUCCAAAAUGUGUACCUUUAUCAGCAAAAUAGACAAUAAAAGCAAAAAUCUCUCUGAAAACUGAAUUUCAGCAGCAAAAGACAGCAGCAACAAAACCAAAAAUAACCCAAAGAUUCAAAUCCAAACCAAAACCAGCUUGAAACCAGGAGAUCCAGCUAAAAGAACUAAGAAAAUCUUUUAUUUCAUACUAUGUUUUCAACUUGUAAAAAAUCAUAAAAUGAGAAGUUUUUGUGCAGUGAAUUUGAUGAUGAAUGUCUGUUUAUCAGAAUGAGAGAACCUACAUAUAUAGGCUGCCUAGAGAAGGUAUAUUUUUUGGCAUAUUCCUUAUCCUAAAGUAAAAAUAGUACUGUCCUUUUACAGCCCCUGGUACAGCUGUCCUAUAUUUCAACGUCUUUUAUAACAGCUAGGACAGCUGUACAUUUCUAG
rnacentral:lncRNA from 1 species